UUGUAUGGUAUGUAAAUUAUAUCUCAAUGGGGCUGGGGGAGGGUUCCUUUUUUUUUUUUUUUUUUAAGAGCAAGCUUAAGAACCAUCGCACACAAAUAUUCUCUUGUUCUGUUAAGUUUCUGCUUCUUUGCUCACCAGUGCCGCAAGAGCCAGCCCCACCCUAAAAACUGGAAAAGGAAGGGGAGGUUAAAAAUAAUGGUGUCACCAGAAAGCAACUCUAUUAUAACAAUUAUUUUGAAAUCUAUAACCCCUUGAACCAUUAGUAGUUCAGGAAAGUUUGUUUUCUGAUGGGCUCCAUCAUUUCAAAAGCAUAUUGUUUAUUAACUAACCGUGUUUAAUGAAGAUACACUUAUGUAUACAACCCUGUAUACACCCUGAAAAAAUUCGACACGAAACCAUGCCCCCGCAUCUAUAAAUCAACAAGUUAGGCUAUAACCCGCUCUUUUACAAACAUGACUAGGGACAAGUCUUAUUCUCUAAUAACAGAAGAUGAAAAAAAGCACGCCAACUAACAAUCAGCUUCAGCUUUCUACGGUUUUUAAGAGUCGGAGUUUAAGUCAGUUGCUGUUCCUUCACCUUCCAUGGUUUAGGACUGGUGUCAGUAAAACAGGUAGUAAAUGAGGGAGAGGGAGGUUCCUGGCCAAGCAUCGCAGAGCUCUUAACUUCUUCCAAACCCCAAACCUUACUUACUUCCUGCAAUAUACGUAAAGAGGUCACAGGCCACCCUCUUCAAACCAAAUCAGAACCCAAGCAAACAGCACAGGAUUCUAUUUCUGGGUCUGUCAUCAACUCACUGGAUAAUUCUGAAACAUCAAUCUCUACUUUGCCCAAUAACCUAACCACGAUUUCCAGUCCAAAAAUCAAAUCAUGUGGUCUAAUAAAGAACGUUUUCCCGAUUUGCAGAUUUACUUUCAUGGAAAAUCUGACAAUGGUGUUUGAAGUUAAAUCACAGUAUAUGUUCAAAUCGUCUCUAAUGAAUAUACAUGAAAUAAGAAAAAUUCAAGACUGUUUACUCCAAAAAUGUUGAGUUCUUCCAUUUCAAAUUUUUAAAGGUGUUCACCAGAGAAAGAGUAAGCUACAGAGGGCUGAAGGGUUCUGAGGUUUUAAAUUUAAGCUGUUAUAUUUAGAAAACCACGAUGCCACCUCUCUGGAUCUCAUAUCUUUAUCUUGGGCAUUUGAUUCAUGUGCUUUGCCUGGUGUAAUUCAAAGCGAGAGAGCCUAUCAUAUCCCUGAAGUGUAAAUUGAACAUAUCAAAACAUUGAUUGUCAGAGGAAUGAGAUACCAAAGAGAUGGGCAGGUAUAGUCGCCACUGCUAGAGCUAUUUAACAAAAUAUGAACUACCUGUCUAGUCCCUAAAGCCGUCUACAAACCACUGCCAACUUUACAAGAAACAUUUCUAUCCCAUUCCUGGAAAUCCUGAUUCAAGAGUCUAGGGUGAAAUCUAGGGAAUCUACUAAUUACAAGUUAUCAGGUGAUUCUACAAACUCAUGGACUUGGAGAACAGAUUUGUGGUUGCCAAGGGGGAGGACGAGGGAGUGGGAUGGACUGGGAGUCUGGGGUUAGUAGAUGCAAACCAUUGCACCUGGAGUGGAUAAGCAAUGAGAUCCUGGCGUAUAGCACAGGGAACUAUAUCUAAUCACUUGUGAUAGAACAUGAUGGAGGAUAAUGUGAGAAAAAGAAUGUACGUGUGUGUACAUAUAUUAUAUACACAUAUAUGUAAGACUGGGUCACUUUGCUGUACAGCAGAAAUUGACAGAACAAUGUAAGUCAAUAAUAGAAAAAAUAAAAACCUUACAAAAAGUGUCAGGUGAUUCUGAUUUACAGCUUAAUUCAGGAACUACUGGUUUAGGACAAGGAUAGCAGAAAGGUUUUCUAUCACCUGCCAAUUAUCCUUGAUAGGUGGUAGCCGCCUGAAGUGCUACACUGAGAAGGUCAUGUCUAAAAACAAUGAGUAAAAAAAAUAAAAAAAAAUAAAAACAAUGAGUAGUUCGCCACUGACAUGGUAAUGGGGAAGUGGCAAUAUGCAAACCUUGUAUCUGUUGCCUGCGAUUUAGACCACUGAAUGGGACUGCUUUUUUUUAAAGGAGGCUUUGGGGAUAAAAGAAGAGACUCAGACCGGGACGAUGUGCUUCUAACUGGCAGAAGCUCUGAAUGUCUCUGGGAAGGUAGCAGGCAGCAGUAACAGGCCCACUGACAUAUGUACCAGGACGCUCGAAAAGCUUUCCAUUAUUAUACAGAAAAAGAAUUCUGCUCUCAAAACGUCUACAACCUUGUUUGAGAAAUGAAAAUUCUACAGGAUAAUAUAAAUUUGGUCUAAAAAAAAAUGGAAUGCUUGUGCUUCAGGGAGUUCCACUUCAGGCACAAGCAGGAGCUAAUGGAGCGUACCCCCCAGAACAGCGUCGUCUGAACUGAUUCAAGCAGGAGUCAACUGUGGGCUCCUGAUAAGGACACAACUAAAGAAGAUUCCACGAGCGGCGUAUUUUAGGAAAAUAAAUGGAAAGCUAUACAAUUAAGGCAGGGCCCCCUGGAAGGCAAAUAAAUCUGUUUUGGUUUGCUUCUGUAAACACCUGUCUCUGCCACAGAUAGACUUCAGAAAGCUUAAGAAUGACGAGUACUUCUGAGAAAACAGCCUAGACUCAAUCAGAAAAAAACAGACAUUCAUUUGUUAGCUCUACUAAUAGGAAAUCUCUCUGAAUCUACUCAAAGAACUUCUUGUAAAUUAAUAUGAGAACUGAAUAUGAGCCAAGGCAGUGACUCAGCUGCUAAAAAGAAAAUACAAUCUUAGGCUUCAUUAGAAGAAGAGUAUCCAGAUCAAGGACGGGAGCAGUCCCAUUCCCCUUCCCUGAUGAGCUCACAACUGGAGGAUUGUGUUCUGUUUUGAGGACCACAUUUUAAGAACACAUACGAGCUCGAAUGCUUGCAGGGAGAGAGACCAGACGAGUGAGGAGUUUAGAAGCCGAAGGUCAAGGGGAGAACGACUGAAGAAAAUGGGUGUGUUUAGCUUGAAGAAAACACUUUCCGGCCUUGCGUCGCCUCUACCACAGAGACCCCAGCGUAACUUCUCAAGGAUUUCAAAGGAGCUCUUAAUAGGCAAGAUUCUAUAAUCAAAGAAGUCUGAGUCAGGAACUUUUUUUUUUCCUCCAAAGGGUUUAUCAAAGUGUUCAGUAUCCUACAGCACUUUAUGACUCUGCAAGAAAAAUUUCAGUAUUUCCCAAAUGUGACCAUUUACUCAUUCAUUCAACGUAUAUUUACUGAGCCCCUAUUAUUUGCCAACACUCCUCCAGGUGCUGAGAAUGCAGCAAUGAACAUUUUUAAAAUCCUUGAGAAGAAUCUGUGGAACAGUCAAGCUGGGCCUCUUGCUACCUCUCUAACCUGCACUGUACUUCCUCAUCCCUAGGUUUUGAUUAUGCGUUCCAUCCAGACUGCCCCAUCCCUAAUCUAAUUUAAAUGUUAUUGCUGCCAAGAAGCUUUCCUGAUCACAAGCAAAACCACUCUUUUCAAUAAACCCAUGGCUCUUUCUCUGUUCCAGUUCUUUGAAAACAGACUACGCCUCUUAAUUACCUCUGGAUCUCUCACAAUGCCUAGGACCACAUCUUGCAUGUGCAGGUGCUAAAGAAAUAUCUGCUGAAGGAGUAAUCACAUUCAAAUAUUUAAAGGGUUAUCCUGUGAAAGAAGACAAACUAGUUCUCUAAUGUUCCACAGAGAAGGACUAGGAAAAAGGGAUGAAGUUACAAGCACAUUUUUGCCUCAAUUAAAGCUAUCGGUGACUACAGGUACUCUAAGAGUAGCCCAAUAAUUCUGUAUCAAAUGUUUUAGUGGGACAGCUCACUGGCCUGAAUAAGAUCUUAAGAUUCUAAGAAAAACCGUAAGUCUAUAUAUAUUUAAUAUUUGUGUGUAUAUAUGUACUAGACAAGAGGUAACUUUUCAUACAAUAUAAUGCAUCGAUAUUAAAGUUCUUAAAAGUAAGCUUAAACAUGAAAUAGCCUUUCGUUUACUGGCACAGCUGAUCCUUAAAGAUGGGGGUGAACUCAAGCAUGACGUACAGGUGGCCCUCCCUAUCUGUCGUUUCCCCACAUCGGCUGGUUCAACCAACCAUGGACCAUGUAGGACUGCAGUAAUCACUACUGUACUGUAGUAGUCACUGUCGGAAAUAUCCAUGCAUAAGUGGACGCGUGCAGUCCAAACCCUUGUUGCUCAGAGGUCAACUGCACGGAGGAUACAAGGCAAAGCAAGACAGUAUCUCCAUCCUAAAAGUCAAUACAAGAGUUCUUAAUUAUGUCCCCAGAGCAAAUCUGAUAUAAAUCCGAAUGCCUACGUCAUCUACCUCAGUAAGCAAUACUCCUUAGAGAAGCAAAUUCUUUAGGUUAAUGAUUUUCAAUACUUUUGCAGUCAGAAAAAUAAGUAUGAAGUCAUCAGCUCCUCUUAAAAUCAUCAAAAGCAUUAAGUUCUUCAUACAAACAAAUUAGUCAUGCUGCCUUUUUAGUUAAAAACUAGAAAACGGGGGGGGGAGGGAUACCUUCACAUACCUAGGCUAUCAUCUCUGUGACUGCUCUCCCAAACCAAAAGCUAUAGUCUUUACUGGCAGGGACACUAUCAGUUACUUGUGUCCCCAGCAUUUAGUAAAGUGCCCAGGACAAGACAGACAGUGAGUCAAUGAGCAAACAAAUGAGAGAAACUAAUGAGCCCAAUGUCCCUGGAUUAAAACAACUACCUUAAAGAAUCACUAACGAUUUGAUUUUUCUUAUUUUAUUUUUCUUAUCGGAUCCCUGCCAAGGAAACAGAAGCAGAUGAGGAGAUCCUUAAAUUUAGUUUUCACUAUAAGUCAGAAUGCUAUUUUUUGGUCAUUUAUUAAUAAGUAAUUACUAUAUGUAAACCUAGUUUUAACCAUAUGUAAAUCUAGUUUUCACUAUAAGUCAGAAUGCUAUUUUUCGGUCAUUUAUUAAUAAGUAAUUACUACAUGUAAACCAAGUUGCUUCUCAGGGGGACUAAAAUUAAUUUACUGAUCAGGAGAGCUAAAUGACCAACUUCUAAUGCAAAGAAAAACCCCAAACACUUAAUUCAGGAGUUCUCUUGUGGUGCAGUGGGUUAAGGAUCUUGCAUUUUGUCUGAAAUAAAACAAAAAACAAACCAUGAUACACCCACAACUUGACCCAUAAGAUUAUAAAAAAUAGUUUAUCAAACUGAUUAAUGUAACUGCCUAAAAAGCAAAAUACUUUGAUAUCACCUAGUGUUUAAACUACUCUUUAAAAGUGCUAUGGUUCACAUUUUUCCAAACUCUCAUUUGAGCAAAAAAAAAAAAAAGCAUAUAAACAUUUACUGUUUAAAAACUAGAAAACAGAAGACUAUAAAAAUGAUA